rnacentral:pre_miRNA from 1 species
AAUAUUUUCGGACUGUCGAUCUACCGUGCAAUUUGACCCGCUCGGUAGAAGAACUGACUUCCCUUUGUCGU